AUUGAACGCUGGCGGCAGGCCUAACACAUGCAAGUCGAGCGGAUGAAGGGAGCUUGCUCCUGGAUUCAGCGGCGGACGGGUGAGUAAUGCCUAGGAAUCUGCCUGGUAGUGGGGGAUAACGUCCGGAAACGGGCGCUAAUACCGCAUACGUCCUGAGGGAGAAAGUGGGGGAUCUUCGGACCUCACGCUAUCAGAUGAGCCUAAGUCGGAUUAACUAGUUGGUGGGGUAAAGGCCUACCAAGGCGACGAUCCGUAACUGGUCUGAGAGGAUGAUCAGUCACACUGGAACUGAGACACGGUCCAGACUCCUACGGGAGGCAGCAGUGGGGAAUAUUGGACAAUGGGCGAAAGCCUGAUCCAGCCAUGCCGCGUGUGUGAAGAAGGUCUUCGGAUUGUAAAGCACUUUAAGUUGGGAGGAAGGGCAGUAAGUUAAUACCUUGCUGUUUUGACGUUACCAACAGAAUAAGCACCGGCUAACUUCGUG
rnacentral:rRNA from 1 species